GACGAACGCUGGCGGCGUGCUUAACACAUGCAAGUCGAACGAUGAAGCUGGAGCUUGCUCUGGUGGAUUAGUGGCGAACGGGUGAGUAACACGUGAGUAACCUGCCCUGGACUCUGGGAUAACCCCGAGAAAUCGGAGCUAAUACCGGAUAGGACCUUGCACCGCAUGGUGUGGGGUGGAAAGUUUUUCGGUCUGGGAUGGACUCGCGGCCUAUCAGCUUGUUGGUGAGGUAAUGGCUCACCAAGGCGUCGACGGGUAGCCGGCCUGAGAGGGUGACCGGCCACACUGGGACUGAGACACGGCCCAGACUCCUACGGGAGGCAGCAGUGGGGAAUAUUGCACAAUGGGCGAAAGCCUGAUGCAGCAACGCCGCGUGAGGGAUGACGGCCUUCGGGUUGUAAACCUCUUUUAGUAGGGAAGAGGCGUAAGUGACGGUACCUGCAGAAAAAGCACCGGCUAACUACGUGCCAGCAGCCGCAGUAAUAC
rnacentral:rRNA from 1 species